rnacentral:rRNA from 1 species
UACGUAGGGUGCGAGCGUUGUCCGGAAUUAUUGGGCGUAAAGAGCUUGUAGGCGGUUUGUCGCGUCUGCUGUGAAAAUCCGGGGCUCAACCCCGGACUUGCAGUGAGUACGGGCAGACUAGAGUGUGGUAGGGGAGACUGGAAUUCCUGGUGUAGCGGUGGAAUGCGCAGAUAUCAGGAGGAACACCGAUGGCGAAGGCAGGUCUCUGGGCCACUACUGACGCUGAGAAGCGAAAGCAUGGGGAGCGAACAGG